rnacentral:rRNA from 1 species
GUUUGAUCAUGGCUCAGGAUGAACGCUGGCGGCACGUCUGACACAUGCAAGUCGAACGGUAAGGAGGGCUUCGGCCCUCCCUAGAGUGGCGAACGGCUGAGUAACACGUAGGAACCUACCCUCCGGCUCGGGAUAACGGUCCGAAAGGACCGCUAAUACCGGAUAUAUCCGCAAGGAGGAAAGGCUUGCCACCGGGAGAGGGGCCUGCGGCGUAUUAGCUUGAUGGCGGGGUAAUGGCCUACCAUGGCGAUGAUGCGUAGCUGGUCUGAGAGGACGAUCAGCCAGACUGGGACUGAGACACGGCCCAGACUCCUACGGGAGGCAGCAGUUCAGAAUCUUGCACAAUGGGCGAAAGCCUGAUGCAGCGAUGCCGCGUGUGCGAAGAAGGUCUUCGGAUCGUAAAGCACUGUCAGAGGGGACGAUAAUGACGGUACCCUCAGAGGAAGCCACGGCUAAUUACGUGCCAGCAGCCGCGGUAAUACGUAAGUGGCGAGCGUUAUCCGGAAUCACUGGGCGUAAAGCGUUCGUAGGCGGUGCGGAAAGUUGGAAUUGAAAUCCCGGGGCUCAACUCCGGACCCGGUUCCAAAACUUCCGUGCUUGAGCGUAUCAGAGGACAGCGGAAUUCCCGGUGUAGCGGUAAUAUGCGUAGAUAUCGGGAGGAACACCAGUGGCGAAGGCGGCUGUCUGGGGUAUUGCUGACGCUGAGGAACGAAAGCCAGGGGAGCGAACGGGAUUAGAUACCCCGGUAGUCCUGCGCUGUAAACGAUGGUCACUAGGCGUCGGGGGCUUCGACCCCCUCGGCGCCGCCGCUAACGCAUUAAGUGACCCGCCUGGGGAGUACGACCGCAAGGUUAAAACUCAAAUGAAUUGACGG